ACAAGAGUUCUACUGCAAUUUCCUGUUAAAUUAAAUAUUUCAUGGCGCUAUUUCACUUUGGAGGCAAAAAAGGCCCGAAAUGCAAUGAAAUGCCUCCAUCUAGUGGCCUGAAAUAUGCGACCGUUGAAUAAUCUUACAGUACUUCCUUGUCAAUUAUUCGUGUAAUCCAGUGUUUCCUCUAUGUUGAUUUGGUAGUGGCGGCCCCCCACGGUUUAAUUUUCUUCCCCCACGGUAUCAGAAAUGGGGCAGAUGUACAAUAGUCGCAGUUGCCUUUCAAAAUUCAUUCCUUUCGUUCCUUUAUCAAUUGUGGAGUAUCAUUAAGGUCCGCAAGUGAUCCUUGCAACAUUGCUCCUCCCACAUCUGAUCAGAGGACCCCAACGCACUUUAUGAUCAACGAAAAGGAUCCAGAGGUACCAACACCAGUCCUGGUGAUCACAGGAAACCCCUUCUUGGAUGCCAGUUUCGGUAUAAAGCUUGACUAUACAGACAUCCUUACUCAAAAUGUUGAUGACGUCACCCAGGCAUUGGCAACGUCAAUUUAUUUUGUUUUUAACAUUGAAUGCCACAAAAAAGUGAAGAACACUCUUAGUUUUGUUGAAGUACUUAAUGUCAAACACCCCAGAGGGCAAGAUCUCCCCAGCGGUCAUCAAAAUGGCCAACUAUUUAUUUUCUUA